GACGAACGCUGGCGGCGUGCCUAAUACAUGCAAGUCGAGCGAAGUUUUUCUGGUGCUUGCACUAGAAAAACUUAGCGGCGCACGGGUGAGUAACAUGUAAAGAACCUGCCUCAUAGACUGGGACAACUAUUGGAAACGAUAGCUAAUACCGGAUAACAGUAUUUCUCGCAUGAGAGAUAUUUAAAAGUUGGUUAUGCUAACACUAUGAGAUGGCUUUGCGGUGGAUUAGCUAGUUGGUGGGGUAAAGGCCCACCAAGGCGACGAUGCAUAGCCGACCUGAGAGGGUGAUCGGCCACACUGGGACUGAGACACGGCCCAGACUCCUACGGGAGGCAGCAGUAGGGAAUCUUCCGCAAUGGGCGAAAGCCUGACGGAGCAACGCCGCGUGGGUGAAGAAGGAUUUCGGUUCGUAAAGCUCUGUUGUUAGGGAAGAAUGGAUAUGUAGUAACUAUACAUGUAAGAGACGGUACCUAACCAGAAAGCCACGGCUAACUACGUG
rnacentral:rRNA from 1 species